UACGGAGGGUGCAAGCGUUAGUCGGAAUUACUGGGCGUAAAGGGUGCGUAGGCGGGGAUAUAAGUCAGACGUGAAAUCCCGAGGCUCAACCUCGGGGCUGCAUCUGAAACUGUAUCUCUUGUCGGAUGGAGGAGAAAAUGGAAUUCCACGUGUAGCGGUGAAAUGCGUAGAUAUGUGGAAGAACACCUGUGGCGAAAGCGGUUUUCUAUCCUGCCCGAGACGCUGAGGCACGAAAGCUAGGGGAGCAAACAGA
rnacentral:rRNA from 1 species